CAGGAAGCUCCGCACUCGCUUGUGCAGGUGGAUAUCACUGAUGUUGAGCAUCAAGACUGGUGGAAUCGGUACAAAUACGACAUCCCAGUACUG
rnacentral:ribozyme from 1 species